UAACACAUGCAAGUCUAGGGGAAACGACAUCGAAAGCUUGCUUUUGAUGGGCGUCGACCGGCGCACGGGUGAGUAACGCGUAUCCAACCUGCCCAUCACUUGGGGAUAACCUUGCGAAAGUAAGACUAAUACCCAAUGACGUCUCUAGAAGACAUCUGAAAGAGAUUAAAGAUUUAUCGGUGAUGGAUGGGGAUGCGUCUGAUUAGCUUGUUGGCGGGGUAACGGCCCACCAAGGCAACGAUCAGUAGGGGUUCUGAGAGGAAGGUCCCCCACAUUGGAACUGAGACACGGUCCAAACUCCUACGGGAGGCAGCAGUGAGGAAUAUUGGUCAAUGGGCGAGAGCCUGAACCAGCCAAGUAGCGUGCAGGAUGACGGCCCUAUGGGUUGUAAACUGCUUUUAUAAGGGAAUAAAGUGAGUCUCGUGAGACUUUUUGCAUGUACCAUAUGAAUAAGGACCGGCUAAUUCCGUGCCAGCAGCCGCGGUAAUACGGAAGGUCCGGGCGUUAUCCGGAUUUAUUGGGUUUAAAGGGAGCGUAGGCCGGAGAUUAAGCGUGUUGUGAAAUGUAGACGCUCAACGUCUGCACUGCAGCGCGAACUGGUUUCCUUGAGUACGCACAAAGUGGGCGGAAUUCGUGGUGUAGCGGUGAAAUGCUUAGAUAUCACGAAGAACUCCGAUUGCGAAGGCAGCUCACUGGAGCGCAACUGACGCUGAAGCUCGAAAGUGCGGGUAUCGAACAGGAUUAGAUACCCUGGUAGUCCGCACGGUAAACGAUGGAUGCCCGCUGUUGGUCUGAAUAGGUCAGCGGCCAAGCGAAAGCAUUAAGCAUCCCACCUGGGGAGUACGCCGGCAACGGUGCAACUCAAAUGAAUUGAAGGAAUCAG
rnacentral:rRNA from 2 species